rnacentral:rRNA from 1 species
AUUGAACGCUGGCGGCAUGCCUUACACAUGCAAGACGAACGGCAGCACGGGAGCAAUCCUGGUGGCGAGUGGCGAACGGGUGAGUAAUAUAUCGGAACGUGCCCAGUAGUGGGGGAUAACUGCUCGAAAGAGCAGCUAAUACCGCAUACGACCUGAGGGUGAAAGGGGGGGAUCGCAAGACCUCUCGCUAUUGGAGCGGCCGAUAUCAGAUUAGCUAGUUGGUGGGGUAAAGGCCUACCAAGGCAACGAUCUGUAGUUGGUCUGAGAGGACGACCAGCCACACUGGGACUGAGACACGGCCCAAACUCCUACGGGAGGCAGCAGUGGGGAAUUUUGGACAAUGGGCGCAAGCCUGAUCCAGCAAUGCCGCGUGCAGGAAGAAGGCCUUCGGGUUGUAAACUGCUUUUGUCAGGGAAGAAAUCCUCUAGGUUAAUACCCUUGGGGGGAUGACGGUACCUGAAGAAUAAGCACCGGCUAACUACGUGCCAGCCGCCGCAGUAAUAC